CUUGUGGGGGGCGUCCCUCAGCCCAGAUUGUGAGAGGGUGCAGGCCAGGCCGAGGGACCCCACUGGUGCACU
rnacentral:pre_miRNA from 1 species